UCAGGAUGAACGCUGGCGGCGUGCCUAACACAUGCAAGUCGAGCGAUUCUCUUCGGAGAAGAGCGGCGGACGGGUGAGUAACGCGUGGGUAACCUGCCUCAUACACAUGGAUAACAUACCGAAAGGUAUGCUAAUACAGGAUAACAUAAGAGAUUCACAUGGAUUUCUUAUCAAAGCUCCGGCGGUAUGAGAUGGACCCGCGUCUGAUUAGCUAGUUGGUAAGGUAACGGCUUACCAAGGCGACGAUCAGUAGCCGACCUGAGAGGGUGAUCGGCCACAUUGGAACUGAGACACGGUCCAAACUCCUACGGGAGGCAGCAGUGGGGAAUAUUGCACAAUGGGCGAAAGCCUGAUGCCAGCAACGCCGCGUGAGUGAUGAAGGCCUUCGGGUCGUAAAACUCUGUCCUCAAGGAAGAUAAUGACGGUACUUGAGGAGGAAGCCCCGGCUAACUACGUGCCAGCAGCCGC
rnacentral:rRNA from 1 species